rnacentral:rRNA from 1 species
GACGAACGCUGGCGGCGUGCUUAACACAUGCAAGUCGAACGGAAAGGCCCUGCUUUUGUGGGGUGCUCGAGUGGCGAACGGGUGAGUAACACGUGAGUAACCUGCCCUUGACUUUGGGAUAACUUCAGGAAACUGGGGCUAAUACCGGAUAGGAGCUCCUGCUGCAUGGUGGGGGUUGGAAAGUUUCGGCGGUUGGGGAUGGACUCGCGGCUUAUCAGCUUGUUGGUGGGGUAGUGGCUUACCAAGGCUUUGACGGGUAGCCGGCCUGAGGGGGUGACCGGCCACUUGGGGAGGGAUAUACGCCCCAAACCCCCGCGGGGGAGAAAUGGGGGGAAUUUGAAGAUAGGGGGGGAGGCGAUUGGGGACAACCCCGCGGGGGGGAAGGGGGCUUUCGGUUUGAAAACCGUUUUGCCCGGUAGCAAAGCGUGGGGGACGGAAAGGGGUAAAAGAGCACCGGCUAAUUCCUG